AACCUAAAAUGAGAGAAACUUCCCCCUCUCACUUGCCCCACCGCCGCCGCCGCCGUCCGGGUCGCCGCCUACGUCAGCGACCUCCCCCCUCCAUCCGUCUCUCCUCUCUCUCUUUCUCUCUUCCUCUUCUCACGUUCAAAUCAGCCGCCGCAGCGGAUCCGCCUCUGUCGCACAGAGCCGCAGCCGCUGCUGCUGGACGCCGACGCCGCCGACGCCGCCGCUGCUCUCCGCACGCUGCUGUACCGUUGAGAAGCGCCGCUGCUCCGUCGCCCGUCACCACUACCGUCACCUCGCCAUUCUCCGAUAGAUUUGUAAAGGGGUGAAAUCCGUGAUGGAUUUGGGGUGUGGGGCUGCCACGACGGUGUGCCGAAACUCAGUAUCCGGAAUUCCGGCAGAUUCGUGUUCUUGAGAUAAGUUGUUAUCUUGGGCUUACUAUAGUUGUAGAACUUGAGUUCUCUAUUUUAUGAAUUCUAUGAAUUCUAUGAAUUUGAACAAUUGUCCUGCUACUAAAAGACUUGAUAGACUUGAUGGUGAAACAUGAUAUUAAACUUGCUGUGUAUUCUUGAUUUCUGAUUUGGGCAGAUUUUAAUUUCUCUUUAGAUAUGCAUAUGCUUGUACGUAUGUGCAAGAAAAGAAAGGUUUGGGAUUUACCUUGGAAUAAAGGUGUGGUUGGAUUGUAGUGUUUGAGUGUGCAAUCUCCCCCCCUCGGAACUCCUCUACCCUUUGUGGGUUGGGGUGUGCAAAAUUAAGAUUUAUGAGGGUGAUGUGUGUGAGUGAUGAUUUGCAGAUAUACAUGUACAUAUACAUAAAAAGAUGCAAGUGGAGCUUAUCUUAAAAAAAAUUAUGCAAGUGGCGUGUCUUGCAUUCUUAUGUGGCAUUUUUUCUUGCUAAGAUUCAUUAAUACAACAUUCAUUAUUCUGACAUCUCAUUUAAUGCACCAAAAUCCUUUCAUGAUCGAAACUUAUCUACUCCUUUUCUUUAUGUUUAAUUUGCUUUUAUUAUAUAUAUAUUUUUUAUUUAUUGUUUAAUUUGGUGUAGGAAAUAACCCGGUUCAAGCUCGUGGCUGCCCGCGCUAAAGUACCCGAUUUGCUUAGAAUGUAGGAUGUAAUAAAUGUUGCUGGAUGUAUCGGACAUUAAAAUUGGAUUUUGGGAUCUUAUUUAAAUUUAUUAUAUUCA